UACGUAGGGCGCAAGCGUUAUCCGGAAUUAUUGGGCGUAAAGAGCUCGUAGGCGGUUUGUCGCGUCUGCCGUGAAAGUCCGGGGCUCAACUCCGGAUCUGCGGUGGGUACGGCAGACUAGAGUGAUGUAGGGGUGACUGGAAUUCCUGGUGUAGCGGUGAAAUGCGCAGAUAUCAGGAGGAACACCGGUGGCGAAGGCGGUCUCUGGGAAUGUCCUGACGCUGAGGAGCGAAAGUGUGGGGAGCGAACAGG
rnacentral:rRNA from 1 species